UAUGAUUCAAAUACUUCACUAGAAGAGCUUGUUGCAAUACAACCCAUUCCUCAUGGAUUGACACCUCAAACUUGGGAAGUUUUAUGUAACUAUUGGAAGUCUACUGAGAAAACUUCAAAAAUCAAUAGAGAAAAUGCAAACAAAAAGAAAGGGACUCAUGCACAGGGACGCACUAAUAUUCCGUCAUUGGAAUAUAAAUUUUCUCAAGAGAAUGGUAGAAAACCAAGUCGUAUUGAAAUACAACAAUUAAGUCGGAGAAGUAGAAAGAAAGGAGGUGCCGCUAUUGACGAUGAGGCAAUACGAAUUGAGAAUUUACUUAAAGAGGUUGUAGAUCGUCUCCUCCAAGAUAAACCUGAAGGAACACAACCAUUGGAAGUCCAUGAGGAGGCAUUUCGUGAGGUUUUUGGACCUGAGCAUUCUGGUCGGGUACGAUGUUUAGG